GAAUUGUUCAGGCGAACGGCGGUUAUAUUUGUCCGUGGACCCAAUUAAGACUUCGUUGACGGGCAAAUAUGGAACGCUGCAACAAGGACUGGCUGCGCUGGUCUCGCCAACUGAAAAGAAUUCUGGUAUGCUGUAAAUGCCGACUGCACAAUAUGUGACUGGCCCGCGGCCGCUUUGAAGGUAAGAUUGUGUUCUCAUUAAUCUGUUUAUUGUACCAUUUGUUUUCCAGUGACAUUACGAGCCAACAAUGAAAACCUCGAUCCACUCUGUUUCCACAUAUUAUCUAGUUUGUGCGCUGUGGAGCUUGAAGCACUUCUCAGAAUUUCAGCACACUCGCAUUUAUUUCUUUCCCGACAGAAGAACAAUGCAAGUCUCACAUCUCGAUGAGGGUGGCGAUUUACCGUCUCACAUCUCGACGCUAAAACGUCGCAUCUGCGUACGUGUUCAGGGCUAAGAGCACGAGAACUGGCCGAAAGAAGGGAGCCGAUCCAGCAAGAAUGCCGCCCGUCUUAUAUAUAUGUCAGCGCUAUCAUGCAGCGAUCACAUGGACUGUACGGUUGCGUUGCACAAGGGCUGAUGCAAACGCUCCGUGCGAACAAUGUUGCAUGUAAAAUUAGUGCACCUAUACAAUUGCAAAAUAAACAUCUAAAGAGAGAAAACUUAUAUUCACGCGUCUUUCUUUUAUUGUGUGUUACGUAUUAACACGUUAAUUAGUGCAGACCGUUAGAGGCGUUUAAUUCCGUCUUACAUGUGCACUCUGCCCGUAAUUAAUUCAGAUAGAGUUAAACGCCUCUAUAAAUUGCCCGUUCACAUUAAAUACGACACGCACCAACACACCAGAAAAACAACUGAUGCGUUUUGUUAGAACACGCACAAAAAAUAAGAAAAAAAAAGCAGAGCAAUACUAGCGAG